rnacentral:rRNA from 1 species
UGGCUCAGAUUGAACGCUGGCGGCCGCCUAACGCAUGAAGUCGAGCGGAAACGAUGGGAGCUUGCUCCCAGGCAUCUAGCGGCGGACGGGUGAGUAAUGCAUGGGAAUCUGCCCGGUAGUGGGGGAUAACGUGUGGAAACCCACGCUAAUACCGCAUACGUCCUACGGGAGAAAGGAGGGGAUCUUCGGACCUUUCCCUAUCGGAUGAGCCCAUGUCGGAUUAGCUGGUUGGUGGGGUAAAGGCCUACCAAGGCGACCAUCCGUAGCUGGUCUGAGAGGAUGAUCAGCCACACUGGGACUGAAACACGGCCCAUACUCCUACGGGAGGCAGCCGUGGGGAAUAUUGGACAAUGGGGGCAACCCUGAUCCACCCUUGCCGCGUGUGUGAAGAAGGCUUUCGGGUUGUAAAGCACUUUCCUCCAGGAUGAAGGCGUUGUAGUUAAUACCUACGACGAAGGACGUUACUCGCAUAAGAAGCACCGGCUAACUCCGUGCCAACAGCCGCGGUAAUGCGGAAGGUGCAAGCGUUAAUCUGAAUUACUGGGCGUAAAGGGCGCGUAAGCGGCCUGUAAAGCCAGAUGUGAGAGCCCCGUGCUUAACCUGGGAACUGCAUUUGCAACUGGCACGCUUGAGUGCAGGAGAGGAAGGUAGAACUCCCCGGUGUAGCGGUGAAAUGCGUAUAGAUCGGGAAGAAUACCAGUGGCGAAGGCGGCUUCUGGACUGACACUGACGUUGAGGCGCGAUAGCGUGGGUAGCAAACAGGAUUAGAUACCCUGGUAGUCCACGCUGUUAACGAUGUCGACUAGCCGUUGGAUUCCUAGAGAAUUUAGUGGCGCAGCUAACGCACUAAGUCGACCGCCUGGGGAGUACGGCCGCAAGGCUAAAACUCAAAUGAAUUGACGGGGGCCCGCACAAGCGGUGGAGCAUGUGGUUUAAUUCGAUGCAACGCGAAGAACCUUACCUACCCUUGACAUCCAGAGGAUUUUCCAGAGAUGGAUUAGUGCCUUCGGGAACUCUGAGACAGGUGCUGCAUGGCGGUCGUCAGCUCGUGUUGUGAAAUGUUGGGUUAAGUCCCGUAACGAGCGCAACCCCUAUCCUUAUUUGCCAGCGAUUCGGUCGGGAACUCUAAGGAGACUGCCGGUGACAAACCGGAGGAAGGUGGGGAUGACGUCAAGUCAUCAUGGCCCUUACGGGUAGGGCUACACACGUGCUACAAUGGGGAGUACAGAGGGACGCAAAGCGGCGACGUGAAGCCAAUCCCAAAAAGCUCUCCUCAGUCCGGAUUGGAGUCUGCAACUCGACUCCAUGAAGUCGGAAUCGCUAGUAAUCGCGAAUCAGAAUGUCGCGGUGAAUACGUUCCCGGCCCUUGUACACAC